UACGGAGGGUGCAAGCGUUAUCCGGAUUCACUGGGUUAAAGGGUGCGUAGGUGGGUUUGUAAGUCAGUGGUGAAAUCUCCAAGCUUAACUUGGAAACUGCCGUUGAUACUAUAAAUCUUGAAUGUUGUGGAGGUGAGCGGAAUAUGUCAUGUAGCGGUGAAAUGCUUAGAUAUGACAUAGAACACCAAUUGCGAAGGCAGCUCACUACACAAAGAUUGACACUGAGGCACGAAAGCGUGGGGAUCAAACAGG
rnacentral:rRNA from 1 species